AACGAACGCUGGCGGCAUGCCUAACACAUGCAAGUCGAACGAAGCCUUCGGGCUUAGUGGCGCACGGGUGCGUAACGCGUGGGAAUCUGCCCUUGGGUUCGGAAUAACAGUUAGAAAUGACUGCUAAUACCGGAUGAUGUCUUCGGACCAAAGAUUUAUCGCCCAGGGAUGAGCCCGCGUAGGAUUAGGUAGUUGGUGGGGUAAUGGCCCACCAAGCCAACGAUCCUUAGCUGGUCUGAGAGGAUGAUCAGCCACACUGGGACUGAGACACGGCCCAGACUCCUACGGGAGGCAGCAGUGGGGAAUAUUGGACAAUGGGCGAAAGCCUGAUCCAGCAAUGCCGCGUGAGUGAUGAAGGCCUUAGGGUUGUAAAGCUCUUUUACCAGGGAUGAUAAUGACAGUACCUGGAGAAUAAGCUCCGGCUAACUCCGUGCCAGCAGCCGCAGUAACAC
rnacentral:rRNA from 1 species